GUGAUACUGAGUGGGAAAUACAGAGAAGUUGCCACCUUUUUGAGUGAGCUGGAGUAGCUGAAUUUCUGUUGAGUAACACAAAGGAGGUGAGGAGUGUACAUGGGAUAUUCAAACACAAUCACUCAUUGUUGGCAGCAUGGUUUUGGACAAGAAUCCCAUAUGCAAACUUAAAGGGAGAUGUUAGCUAGAAUGACAGUCUCAGCCCCCAUUCACUGUCAUUGUAUGGAGAGAAAAAAAAAUAAAAAUAAAAGAAGAAGAAGCAGGAAAGCGAAUGCUGGCUGAGGUAACACAUCGCCUUUUGUGUCAUAUGGGUAUGGAGCAAUAUGAGGGACGGUUACUGAGAUCAAGCGAGUAGUAUUCAGCUGGUCAUGUGAUUCCAAUAUGGCAGCCCCCAUGUGUGGACCCUCUCCAUGUAGAAUAAAAUGGCUUUUAUAAGGUUA